GUGGGGAAUAUUGGACAAUGGGGGAAACCCUGAUCCAGCGACGCCGCGUGUGUGAAGAAGGCCUGCGGGUUGUAAAGCACUUUUAGUGGGGAUGAAAUGUGCAGGGCUAACACCUCUGCAUUUUGACCUAACCCACAGAAAAAGCACCGGCUAACUCUGUGCCAGCAGCCGCGGUAAUACAGAGGGUGCAAGCGUUAAUCGGAAUUACUGGGCGUAAAGCGUGCGUAGACGGUUACAUAAGUCGGGUGUGAAAGCCCCGGGCUCAACCUGGGAAUUGCAUUCGAGACUGCGUAGCUAGGGUGCGGAAGAGGGAAGCGGAAUUUCCGGUGUAGCGGUGAAAUGCGUAGAUAUCGGAAGGAACACCAGUGGCGAAAGCGGCUUCCUGGUCCAGCACCGACGUUCAGGCACGAAAGCGUGGGGAGCAAACAGGA
rnacentral:rRNA from 1 species